UUUUUUUUUCUUUCUCUAAAUCUUCCUCAAUUAUGUUUUCAUUCAAAUAGGAAACGUAUUCCUGAUGUAAAAAUGUACCACGCAUCCCCUCCAGGUGUUGAGUCUCUCACAGAUUAAAAGAGAUUUCUCCUGACGUCAGAGAAAAAACUAUUUUAUCUAAAGAUCAGUUGUUCCUGUUAUUUUGUCCACUGGUCUGGAAGUACAGUGUAAUAUUUAUGGAAGAUUCAGAGGGAGAAUCUGAUCUGGAUUUUUGACACUGGACAAAACCUUUUUAAAACAGCCCUGUAAAAACAAAUAUAAAGUACAUCAAAAAUACAACUCACCAUUAAGCUGAAUUAUCGCCACAUUAUGCAAUAUGAGAAUCACCUGUAGUGGUUUAUAUCCACACACAUUAACAACCUGAAACUCAAACAGCCAAAAUUAAUUUUAUCAUUUACUUUUGAUCACUUGAUCAUUUAUUUAUGAUCAUUUACUGCAUGCAAAAAUGUCUUCUGUGAUUUAUUUAUUAAGAGCUGAAGUUUUCACACCUAUACUACAAUAUGUGUUGUUUUAUAUCACAAUGGUUGAGCAUUGCAUGUGUGCUUCUUAUAUUCUGUUUAUGCCAUGAACUGUUAUUACUAAUGCAAUUUUUAUCAGAGUUUAUUUUCAGGAAGGAGUGAGUUUCAAUUCUCAAUAAUCCAACUGUGUGAUUCCCGUGUGACUUAAUGUUUCUUUGCUCUUUACUUAAAACACAUAGCAAAGUUCUGAGAAGCCAAAGCAACUAACUAACCAGGAACUAACCACUUCCUUUCCUCCGAGCCUCCUCAUGCUCGCCAGGGGCCAUGUUGAAGUUUCACUCUGUCUUUCUCUGUCUGAUGGGCAUCAUGUUCAACCGAGACCACGCUGCUCUUCUCUCCAUUCAACUGCUAACUGUGUGCCAAGUCUUUGCAGUGUCAGAGAUUGAAGACAGGAAUGAACUGGUGUCCAGAGGAGACUCCGUCGUCUUCACCUGCAACAUAUCUGAUACAAAUGAAACGCAACUCACAUGGACCAAAGACAGAUUUGUUUAUGCGUUUUCGUUCCCAAAGAAUUUGUCUAUUUCAAAUUUCACAUCUCGCAGACUGAGAAUAGACAACAACUUACCUUCAAGGAUGAUUAUUUCUAACGUUCAGCAUGACGAUGCAGGAACCUACAGAUGUUGUUUAAUUGCCGUGAACAGUACAAGGAAUAUUGAGUGGGAUUUAAAGGUGUCUGGAGAACCUGAAGAAGCCAGUCCAUUGAGGUACCCUCUCUACAUACUCACAGCCGUAAUUGGAUUUCUUCUAUGUGUAGUCACAGCUGUCUGCCUCUGUAGCUACAGAUUACAUCUCAACAACUGUCGGUCGGUGCGGUGGAUUGACGACAAGAAAGGGCAAGAGGGCAGACAGCUGUGGCUUCUUAGCACCACGUGCUGCAGAAGAGAAGGAGACGGAAAGAGGCCGAAGCAUGAAGACAGGGGGCGACAAACUCACAGAGGAAAAGAGAUCAGGAAAUUAGAGAAAGAAAAGGACGAGAGGGAGCAGAGCUACAUGUGAGGGAUGAGGAGUAGAGGGAGAGAGAUGAGACGAAAUCAGAGAGUGGAACAGAAAACGAAACAUGAUGGAAAGAGCUCGACUACGAUCCCAAACCAGCACCAGGAAAGCGAGACCCUGAGUUAUGCCCAGUUUCAUGUUCAGUCGGGAAAAGAGGUGGCUCCCCUCCAACCCCACAGUUGUGCAGAAUACAGGACGAAUCACAAGCACGUGGGUACUUCCAGAGGCUCAGUUCAAUAUGUGGCCUCAUGAGCAUGAAGUUCAGUGCAACGCCGAAUAGGAAACAAGACAAAACGUCAACUGCAUAAAAAAGAAAAUUACUACAGUGUUAUACUGAGGUUAUUAGUCGAAAUUCCUUCAGUCCAUCCCAUGAGAAGCUUUUCACUAACCUGGUCAUUUGAUGAGUAAUGUUUAUGUCAAAUAAAAAGAACAUGAGGAAAAGGCCUUUUAAUGGCUAACUGCCACAAAUGAUUAAACCUUGUGAAAAAAGAAGAAAUGCAAAACUAGAAAUGAAGCAAAAAAAAAAGGAUACAUCCAUCAAGCAAUGGAAGGCAGAGACGAGCUGCCCCUCAAGAACACGCCUUCCUCUCUUAGACAAUGUGUCGUUUCACAUAAUCUGAACAAUAAAGAACUGUUGCUCCUUGUUGUUAGGCAGCAAUAUUUCCUUGUAAGGGGAGAGCGGGUCGGUAUGGAGGGCAGUUGGGUCAGGGCCUGUUUGGACAUCUGCAGUGGGCUUUUACAUGUUUGGCUCUGUUUUAUUUUUUUUCUCAAAGAAAUCUGUGAACUGGUGACAUUGUAAAUACAAGGUGUUCAAAUUUAGACGGCGACAUUUUCAAUUAAAAUGAUCUUUUUGUACCCAGAACAUGGUGUCACAACUGUACCCGGAGGGGCAGAACUAUGGAUAAAUGCACUUGUUGUACAUCGAACUAAAUUGUGCCUUUUACUUUUGGGUUUGGGCUCCAAAGAUCUCGAUGAAUCCGUUAGCAGACGCCUGAAUCUUAUCAGUGAACACAUUAUUUUCAUUAUUUAAGGUAAUUUGAUGUGUCAACCGAGCCCUUUCUCAUCUACUUCCCUGUUUCUAUGGUCUAGCCAUGUCACUGGCGUCAGGGAAGUUGCGGUAUGUGAAUAAAUCGAGAGUACAAUCUAAGGAAGUUGACUCUUCACUAUAGCUAGAGGGAUGCGUCACUUUUUGACUUUUAUUAAUAAUGGACAAAAGCCUUUUGCCUAUGAUUUAUUAAGAAAUGUGUCAUUUGAUUGCAUAAAUUGUCCGUCACA